rnacentral:rRNA from 1 species
CCUACGGGAGGCAGCAGUAGGGAAUCUUCCACAAUGGGCGAAAGCCUGAUGGAGCAACGCCGCGUGGGUGAAGAAGGUCUUCGGAUCGUAAAACCCUGUUGUUAGAGAAGAAAGUGCGUGAGAGUAACUGUUCACGUUUCGACGGUAUCUAACCAGAAAGCCACGGCUAACUACGUGCCAGCAGCCGCGGUAAUACUUAGGUGGCAAGCGUUAUCCGGAUUUAUGGGGCGUAAAGGGAACGCAGGCGGUCUUUUAAGUCUGAUGUGAAAGCCUUCGGCUUAACCGGAGUAGUGCAUUGGAAACUGGGAGACUUGAGGGCAGAAGAGGAGAGUGGAACUCCAUGUGUAGCGGUGAAAUGCGUAGAUAUAUGGAAGAACACCAGUGGCGAAAGCGGCUCUCUGGUCUGUAACUGACGCUGAGGUUCGAAAGCGUGGGUAGCAAACAGGAUUAGAUACCCCAGUAGUC